GCCACGAUCAGAAUAAAGGUCGGUCGUUCACCUGAUUCUUGCAUUAGGAGGUGCAGGUUCGAAUCCUGCUCGUGGCU
rnacentral:tRNA from 1 species